rnacentral:lncRNA from 1 species
AUGGUCAGUGGUGGCUCCCACUGCAGGGGAUGUGCAGAAAGGCUGGAGUCCAGCAGCAGUUCAGCGGAUGAGGUACAUCAGAUGGCUCGCCCUGUCAGCCAGAGGCUCGGGGACUUUCCUGGGGCUACACCUCUCCAGAAGUUUGAAGAUGUCCAACAAAUGCUUAAUGAAGGGCAAGAAAGAAGUUGUUGGGAGUUUGCCAUUGCUUGGGUCCAAGCAGGAACAGCUCUCCCUCGAUGCCCGAAGUCUGCGCCCCUCUGUGCCCCUGUCUGCUCUAAUGGAACCAGGAUGAAGGAAGUCCCCAGGAAAACAUAGAGAAGGGACUCAACCCCAGGUUGAAUCCGAUGAACCCACCUGCUUGUUCCUUGAAAACAAACUGGGAGGUGGUCAAAAUAAGGAGGUUUCAUCGAGGGGCGCCCUUCACCCACACUCCCUUGAAGGACAUAGGCCCCCAUACACACCCCUGAAAACUGGAGAUUUAAAGCAACUAGCUCAGCCUGGUACCUGACCUUCCUGAGUCACCAACAGGCCAGCCAG